UGCCAGUGGGUUCCGAGUCAUCAAGUUCUGGGCCGAGCCAGUGGGUUCUGAGUCGGGCCAGUAGGUUCUGGGCCAUGUCGGUGGAUUUUAGGCCAUGUCAGCUGGUUCCAGAUCGUCAAAUUUUGGACUGGGCCGGUGGGUUCUGGGCCGGACCAGUGAGUUCUGGGCCGUCGGGUUCUGGACUGUGUCGGCAGAUUUUGGGCCAUCGGAUUCUGGGCCGUGUCGGUG
rnacentral:lncRNA from 1 species